GUAGGUGAACCUGCGGAAGGAUCAUUAACAAAUCAUAUUUGGUGGUUUUGGUAGAUUUUUCUCAUUUGAAGAAUUUAUCAAUAACAACACACAUUUGUUCUCGUGACAAGUAAAAUUGUCAUGUUAACAAACAUUUGCGCUUGUCAUUGUUUGUCAGAUUGUAUUUGUAUUGGUUAUGAAGGAAAGAUAUAGACAACUUUUAACAAUGGAUCUCUUGGCUCUU
rnacentral:misc_RNA from 1 species